rnacentral:rRNA from 1 species
GCAAAGGUAGCAUAAUCAUUUGUCUUCUAAUUAAAGACUGGUAUGAAGGGGAAAACUCUCUACAACUUUAUUUAAUAUAAAAACUUAAAUUUCUAGCUGAACGAAGAAGUUCAGAUUCAACAGAAAGACCAAAAGACCCUAUAGAGCUUCAUGUUCAACGGCUCAACUCUCCGGCAGACAUUUCGUUGGGGCAACGAUGAACUUCUCACUCUUAUCUUUCACUGCCCCAAGCUCAUAUAAAACCUACCCAUAAAAUAGUAACAGCUACCUUAGGGAUAACAGUCUAAUUUCUCCUUCUAGCCCACAUUUGCGGAGAAGAUUGGCAC